UCUCUGGCUUGGUCUCAGUUUGGUUAUUCAAUCUUUUCUCUGGUUUUUGUCUUUAUUUCAAAUAUAUGUUGUUGUAAGAAGACUGCCUCUGCCACUGCCUGAAUGGAAUUGCCACCUGGCUUGGUCAUAAAGCUUUACUACCAAAACUUGUUACAUUUAUUCCAGCUUUGCUGAUACUAGGCUUCAGGGGUUGUUCAGCUUCAUAGCUGACUGCUGAGGCUUCAGUAAAGAGCUGCAUUAGCACUAGUUCUCAGCACCUCUUUUUUGACUCUUUGUAAAGUCUUAAGCAAAGAAAGGUCAGAAUCAUUGCCAGCAAAUCAUUGCCAGAGAAAAUACAUUCUUUGAGACAAAGAGGUGCUUCUUUCUCCUGUCCUCCACUCUUACUUCAGACUCAUUAUCCUUCCAGCCAAGCAGAAAUACAUCCAGAAUUUCAGGAAGGAGGUUGUGGGAACAGUGACCUGUGCUGCAGGGGAGGCUGGGCCCUGGCUCCCAACUUCCCGCCCUGCCCAACACUGCAAGAGCAGCAGCAGGGGGACUUUAAGUCCCUAAAGCAGGGUGGUUCCAAAGAGGAUGGAGCUGGACUGCUCUCAGUGGUGGCUGAUAACGGAACAAGGAACAAUAGUCUCAAGUUGAAGCAAGGGAAGCUGAGGACCACACACCUAGAGGGAAGGCGUCACAGGAGGCGGUCAAUGCAGAAGUAUGGAAGAUGGUGACCUCCAGAUCCAGAUAUCACAAAACUAGAUGUUGCACUACUGAAACAACUCCCCCAGUACAGCUGGGAAACAGGUAUGAUGCCCUAGCAUCACUGAGAGGGAGCACAGCAACAAAGACCACAUCCACAGCUACCACCAGACAGGCUGAGAGACAACUGGGCAGCCAAAGGAGAAGGCGUCAAGUGAUCGUGGUGAGCAACUCCCUCCUGAGAGGAACGGAGGGAGCCAUCUGCUGCCCGGAUUCUGCAGUACGGGAGGUAUGCUGACUUCCCAGAGCUAGGAUUUGGGAUGUCACAGCGAGGCUUCCAGACUUAAUUAGGCCCACUGACUACUACCCCAUGGUCCUCAUCCAUGUUGGAACAAAUGAUGUGGCCCGGAGUAGUCUGGGAUGGGUCAUGACUGACUACAUGGCUCUGGGAGACAGGCUUAGAGGCUCAGGGGCACAAGUAGUCUUCUCAUUGGUCCUCCCAGUCAGCGGCCAUGGCCAGCAUCACAGCAACUGUAUCGAGGAGGUCAACUCACAGCUUCGGAGCUGGCGCCACUGUGCAGGGUUCAGCCUUCUAUACUUCCAGAAGACCAGCUUCAACAAGCUCAGGAGAUUGGUUAGGGUGGGACUGAGGGGUAAUCACAUCUGUGAGAUGGGAGUCCAAGAAGGGUGGGAGUUCCUCAAGGGACUGAUCCUACAGGCACAGAGGGACACCAUCCCAGUACAUGCAAAGGGUGGCAAAAGAGCCAAAAAAAAGAGCCAAAAAAACCUUCUUGGCUGACCUCCACCACUGCACUGAAAAGUGCUAGAGUCAUUCUUAACUCCCUCAGUCAUGCCUCACUGCCUGCCACGCUCAGGGAUUGACAGUCAGAGGAGGGAGGGGGAGUCCAGAGGCUCCAACUGCUGUUCCAGGUGAAGCAAUGAGGAGAGCAGCAGUUGGACAGAAACUCCAGGACUGCAGUUUAACCUCUUGCAGACCACAUGUGGCCUGAAGGCUGCUAGCUGUACAGCUCUGCUUUAAGUAUUUGGGGCAUAACCCUAUUUCCUUUUAUGUGCCCAAAUGGAACAUACCCAGUCACGUAACUACCAUUUUUGGGCACUAGUAGAGUUUGAAAUCUCUUGCAUGUGCAGCAUGCAUAUAUAACACCACAACUUAGCUUGUACUGUAGGUUGUACUGUUGUCACACUCUGUCUGCGUGCACAUACUUGCAUGCAAGUCCUGAAAUUGUAAGCUGAUAAAGGGAGAAGAGGAAGGCCCUCCUAGGUUUAGGCCAAUAACUUGAUAGCCAAAGCCCUUGCCCAGGAAACAGAUGACCCAGAUUCUGGAUCUUCCUCACCAAGAAGGAGGCUUGAACCUACAUCAUCUUGACUUUCCAACAUAGUGGUCCAAUCAUUAGACCACAGGUAGGUGGUAACAAGGCCCCAGCUCCAGCCCUCCUCUUGAAGCUAAGCCAUUACACCUUGCAUUGAAUAUUCAGUGACAAAACAAAUCGCAAACAGUGGAUCCUAGGAAUCUGCUUCUUGGGUGAAUGCCCUAACCACCCAGGAUGAGUGGAUGAAGGGAUGGUUUUGUGAUUAAAAAAUAAGACGGAGUUGAGGGUUAGGUCCUAUUCUCAGCUGUGCCAUAGACUUCCUAUACAACUCAGAAAGACACUUUGGGUAUGAUCUACAUAAAGGUAUCUGCAUAUGCUUCUCUAUAAAUAUGCAUAAGCAGGUUAGAAAUUUGCAUGGGAGACAGGCAGCCUAAAAACUAGGUUGAAAUCUGGGAAGCCUUGGUUCAAUCCUUGUCAUGGACUCCCUGAGCAAAUAACUUAUUUUCUCUCUGCUUCAGCUUCCCACCUUAUAAAUGAAGACAACAGUCUUUUCUUUCUCCCACCUCCAUCUCCACUGGAAAAGGAACUUUUCAUUGCUGUUUCAUAGAGUAACAAGCGUGCGUCCCGGGGUUGAUUUCAACAUAGGCCUGCCCACUUGUUUACAGGCUAGCCACCCGCCCAUCUCACCUGCCAUAUCAUGAUGUUCCUGAUUGUAAGAUGUUAAUCAGGCAGAAGGCUGCCCUUUGACAAGGGCCUCUGUAUACACUCUAACCUCCCCUUGAUGUGUUCCAUGCCUCACAGAUGUUUCUUGGUCUAACACCCAGCCUCAUCAUCAUCUCUACGUAUACUGGGCUCCCAGCCCCCUCCCUGGGCCUACUAGCCCUAUCUUCUGGCUUUAGGCCCCAUCCUCGGGCUCCAAGUCCCAUCCUCAUGCUCCAAGCUGCUGCCUAUGCCCCUGUAGGUAACAGAGCACCCUAUGCACUGUUACACAUAGGCUUUGCACUACCUAGAUCAUGUAAAAAUAUAGUCAGGCCAACUUUCUGCAACCUAGAAGGGUUCUGUUAGACCAGAGAAAUCUUUAUAUAUUGUUACAUAACCAUCUUUUCCCAAUUUGCACAGGCAACUUGAUAGGAGCAGAAUACAGUGUUCUGGCUGCUCUUCUGCAAAGUCAGGAUUUCGUACUGGAGGAAGGUAUAACAGGAUUCUGCUUGAAGGGUGGCUGUGAUGCCUCUGGAGUCCCCGCUUUAGCCCCUGUCUCCUUAGUCUUCUGUGGGUGAUCUCCCCUCCACCUCACUUGCCAAACCUCGAUGAAUAUGAUGCUUUUAGAAAAGGCAAGCUGCCCGAGGGCUCCCCAAGUCAUAUCUCCUCUCAUGAACACAGGUGUCCAUGCACAUUGCUUUAAGAGCUAAUUACAUGGGCUCCAUCCUCCCCAGUACCCACAUCUAUGCCUUGAAGAUGUCACAUAUACUAAUCAAUCAUAACCGCCCCUACAGGCUCUUGGUUUUGUUCUGGGCUAUGGGCACUUUGGCCCCCUUGGUUUGCAGCUGUGGCCCUCCUGGCCUUUGGUCUUUCUCCUUAGACCUUGGCCCUGGCUCCUAGGUCAGUUAGGACCUGCGGGCUCUCCUGCCCCACCAGUCUCCAGCUGUGGCCCUUCUUGGCCUUCAGUCUGCCUGAGCCCUGGCUCUGCUCCUAGGCCAGUGUGAGCUACAGGCACCCUGGCCCUACCUGCUCCCAGGCCCUCUACCCUCCUUUUGGGCCCUCUAGCUCCUGUUCUCUCCCUGGGCUUGCUAGGACCUCCUUACUUCCACUUAGUCCUUUCUACAAACCACCAGAUGCUCUGCAGCCCUAAGGCUGCACACCCACAGACAUACCUGAUGUGAGUCAUAGUCACUCUUCCAGCAGCCUGCUCAGGAGCUCCUUCUGUCAGCUACCUGGGUGAGACUCCCUACCUACCUUAGGCCCUGGGAUUAUAUAUACCUCAAGCCCAACCCCCUUCCAGUUGGGCGUCUUCCCUGAUUGCUUUCUGAGUUUUCUAGAGCCCUCUCUCUUCUUAAAAUGACAGAAGCAUACUAAGCACCCUGUCACCAAAGGACAUAAUGUAGAGCAAGCCUUGGACUAUUCCAAGUUAUACCAGGGGACUAUUCAGUCAUGACCAGGGACCCUGGUUUUCUCUUAUAAAAAAAUCCCCCAUUUUUGGACAUAAACCCUGCCCCAAAAUCCACUUGAAAACACUCAGAAGCUUUAUAUAUCAUAUAGUUUCAUGGUUUCUACGGUCCAAAGGGACCUCAACAGAUAAUCAAGUCCAACCCCCUGCCAUGGGCAGGAACAAGUUCUGGGAUCAUAAUAUUCCAGCCAGAUAUCUAUCCAACCUUCUCUUGAAGACCCCCGAGGUAGGGGAGAAUACCACUUCCCUUGGGAGCCCAUUCCAGAGCCUGGCAGCCCUAACUGUAAAGUAAUGCCUCCUGAUAUCAAGCCUGAACCUGCUCUCAAUCAAUUUCUGGCUCUUAUUCCUUGUUAUCCCAGGUGGUACCCGAGGGAACAGAGCCUCACCUAUUUUCUGCUGGUCCCCCUGGUGAGUUUAUAGACGGCCACCAGAUCCCCUCUCAGUCUUCUCUUGUGGAGGCUGAAUAGAUUCAGGCCCUUUAGUCUAUCUUCGUAGGGCCUGCCCCGCUGCCCCCUGACCUCCUCUGGACCCUCUCAAGGGGUUAUUUAUGAGAAAAUACUGUGUUGGCUGUAAAAUAGGCCACCACAUAAUGACCUGUAACAUGUACUCACUAAUGGGUUAUAAUAUAAUUAGUUACACAUCACUGCAUAAUGGUAGAUGAUAUCAGCUAUCUCUGUACUCACUGAAUAAACAGAUUUGUUUUUUACAGCAUGUAACUAGCAUCUCUCAAAAGAAAAAUCAGUAAGGAUAGUUGCUUAAAGAGAUCAAAAUGUCCUACAGUAUAGAUCACCAGACAAUUUUUGUUUUCCUUUUUCUGAGGCAAGUGGUUCAAGACAACCAAGCAUUAAGUCAAUGCCAUUUCAAAAUCACAGCUAUAACUCUUCUAAGUGCUAGUACUAACCAUUUCAGUGGCUAGUACUCCCACUUCCCCAAAAUUUGCAGCAGCAGGAAGCAAAUUGGUAUGAGUAAAUGCAGUGUUGGAGGGAUGUUGUAGCCAUGAUAAAUGCAGGAAAUAUGCAAGAGGCAAGGAUAUUUUUAAGAGGUGAUGUUUUUUAUUGGACCAAUUGCAUGGUUAGGAAAGAUUUUAGACAAGAUUUUUAGUACAAAGUACUCUUCUUUAUGUCUGAUAAGGAAAAUGUUGCAUGAGUAUACAUUAGUAUAUAUCAGUAUACAUUUUAUUUUCUUACUGAUUUAUGAAGUGAAUGCAAGGUAUCGUAUUAACUGCAAGAGCAAGGAACACACUGAAUAUCUCACAAACAUGCAGUGACUUUCUUCUGUAGAGGAGAUUUUACUAAAACCUGUCUUCAUGGCAUAUUCAUUUUCAUGGCAAAGUUUAGUUAUCAGUAAUUCACAUUUCUAUAAAAGGUCUGUAAAAAUAAACCUCAUGCUGUCUUCUGUUGAACAAGCUGUAUAAGCAUAAAAAUGGUUUCAAAGGUAUUCUGUCUAAAAUGUUGCAAGAAAUUUGUGUCCCUUCUUCAAAGGUAUCUAGGCAAAAUAGUAACUGUGCUCUGAGUUUGCCAGUCACUUCCUUCUAGUUUUAUGUCUUAAACCACAAGCUGGCAAACUACGGCUCAGGGGCCAUAUUUGGCCCACGAAGACAUUGGAUAUGACUCAUGAAGGUCUGAUCUAGCUCAAGGCAGAGCCUCCCACAGCUAGUGGGGCAGCUGGGGACUUGUGCGGGUCACAUCCAACUAGGCCUAGUUUCCGCAUCAGCCUCAUGCUAUCUGACAACUGCUGUGUUAACCCCAGGAUUGCCGGCUGUGCCAACAUCUCUCCCAGCAGCAAUGGUGUCUCUCACAAUGGGUAGGGGGGCUGUGAGGCUGACAAGCAGACUAGAGUUACACCUCUUUUGGUGCUGUACUGAGUGCGGAAUAGGGAUGAAGAUUACACAGCAAGGCAGGAUUAGAGGCUUGUGGAGGCAGCUGAGUUAUAAACAGCAACUUCUCAUAAUUAAAAGGUUGCCAAUGUCUGACCAAAUAUACCUUUCAUAUCUGUGAAAAUAAGAAGCAAAUAACACUGGCUUGCAUCAGAUAUUGAACAAGUAUGUCUACACAGAGUUAUGCCAAAUUUAAUUCCUGAAUUGGAACAGACCUAUUAUUUCCAAUACUGGUUUCCUGAACUGAGUUUGCUGAUCUGGAAAAAUUGUGCCAGGCUUAUUCCUGCAUAUAUAUGUGAAUACAUGGGGACAAGGCUGAGACAGAUAAUUUUUUUGACUCAGACCAAGAAUUGAACUCAAACCUUGAGAGAUGAAACAAUAUCGCACUAACAUGUUAUGUCUGAUUCAUCACUGCACUGCUCCAGGUUUAUGUCUGUACAAUUCCUUUGAAAUUAGUGUAGUUAUACAUAGGAACAAAACUGGAGUAACACGACAGUAAAUCAAACCUGUCACCAUCUUGCUCCUAACAUCUCUAUUUUAAUUAAAGUAGCUUUGCUGUGCCCAUUAAAAUAUCAGCACUUGUUUCUAGCAGGGAAAAAUCAGUUAUUAAAAAUAUUACACAGAGAUGUAAUAAUAUCUGAAACUAGACAAACUAGUCCUUCUAUUCACUUGAAAAACAAUCAAAUGAUCUAAAGUCAAAGAAAUCAAGCGAUAAGCCCCUACAUAGCUAGCUGUUUCAGAACUUUCAUUCUGAUCAAGUGCUGGAAAAUGUGCUGUAGGGACCAAUGUUACUUUACCCUCUGGAAGGUGGACAGUGUCAUCUAAUAAGUCUUUUUAGUUUCUAAACUUCAGGAUUUUACUGUAUCCAACUGUAAGUAUACUCUACCUUACAUUUUUGUUAUUGUGUUAUAAUUUAGAAAGCUAUAUAUAAUAUAUAUCAGUGAUACCCAUAUCAGUGAAGAUUUAUGAGUUUGGUAUUAUAAUAUUAUAAUACUAACUUUGCUUGAAGUUCAGAGCUUGGAAGGAUUAUAAAGAUCGGAGAAGAAGAAAUGAUAAAUUCACUCAUAUUCCUUUUCUGCUCCCUCCCACCAACACGUGCUUUUAGCCAAAUAACAGAUUUAUUAGAACAUUUCUUCAAAGUGAUUUUGAUUUUACUGGUAGGGAGGAACCAUAAGCAAAUAUGUCAGUACUUGUCUGAACAUCUGACUAAGGUAAAAGUGAAGUUAAGUGUAGUCAAAUAUAUCACUUUCUUUAGUGAGUUCUGCAGUGGAUUAUAACAAGAACAUAUUGAAGUAUUUGUGUGUUUACACCCUGAAAUUUUAUCUCCUACCACAGCAAGCCAGAGGGAACCAGAGGGAAACACCACUGCAAGCAAAAGACAGAAAAUAAGUAUAUUUCCUCUCUAGGGCAGUGCCUAUCCCACUAAGCCACAGAGGCAGGCUCUGUCUGGUGCGCUAUGCUCCUAACCCCACAUAUUUUCCCUUCUUGGCUGCACUCUGGACCCCCACCAAAAUGAGGGGUGAAACAUGUUCUUUACCUAGUGGCUGCCCUGAAUGCCUUAUUGGUUAAGGCGCUUAGCUGGGAAGAGGGAGAAAUGCAUUCAAACCCUUGUAGAUUGAAGGGGACCUAAAAUCUGGGUGACCCUUUCCCUGGGCAAAUGCUCUGAUCACCAAGCUCUUGGAUUCAAAAGGCGGGAGUACCCUCCAUGAUCAAACAACCACUCAAAAUGUUUCCGCUGACAACACUUCCAGGAAUAUACUUGCAGUUACAUGCUUUCCUGGACAGCAUAGGAUCACCACAGAGUGAAGGUGACUGUUGCCAAUCCUUUCUACAUAUGCUUAGAAAGACCUAUUUGCUGAGUCCAGAUGAGCAGGGGUGUGUGCUUGCAACAGCACAAAAAGUACUGGCACAAAUUUGUGCCUCCACUUUGUGCCACAGUACACAGCCCUGCAUGUGUGCUUUGUUGCGGGACACACUGUCUUGCUGUGGGCAAACUGCCCUUGCCCAGCUCCUUUUGGCUCCUGGCAUGAUGGGGUAACCGGGGCAAAUGGAACAUAGAGACGCUCUGGCCAGCAGCCAGAGAGUCUCACUGGAGGACCAAGGCUCUGCUUUUCCCCCCCUCCCCAUGCUAUUCUUUGCUACUGGAAAAUCCUGGUAGGAAAUUUUAUAUCCUGCACUGCCAAUCUGCAGCAUGGGGCAUGUUUUAACAUUCCAUGCAUGCAGUUUGUGGCACCACAAAGAGUCGGUGGUGCCACAAACUGCACACCCACUCUCAUCUGGAUGCAGCCAUUUAGUUAUGCAGAUGAAAAUUCCAUAUUUUCACACAUCCCCCUCACCUCCAAAUAAGACAUGCACUUUGUUUGUGGAUUUUUUCCAGAGUCAUGGUCUAAAGCUGGUUUUGUCAGAGAGAGGCAGUGCUGCAAGAUGCCUGCCAGCUUCUUUCCUGGGCAAAAAGUAGGAAGGAUGGCAUCCAGUAUCAACCAUUUCACAGCCAUUCUCAAAUUGCCAGCGGUUUUUAGCUGCUCAUUUUUGGCAGCAGCGUGUUCAUGCUUAAACUCCUCCAUGCUUUUAUUCUAAUGAAGAAAAUCCUCUUAAGACAUGUACCCUGAUUUUUGAGGGCUGUUUUUUGGGGGGAGAGGUGCAUGUAACAGGCAAGGAAAUACAGUAAGAUCUAAAAAUAUGUGUAAGAAUGAAAAGAGCCUCUUACACACCUCAAUGAAGCCAAACUUAUAUACAUCCUUUAGAUGACAUAGGAUUUAAAGCUACUGAUUCAAGGUUUAUUUACUUUGCAUACACACCUGUAUACCUCCCCAUCCUAUGAAAAAAGAUCCUCAGUUGUGAUAUAUUGUACUCAUAGACUAUUUUAAAAUAAAUAUAAUAAAAUAUGGUUGAUGCAUAUUAAAUCAUGUGAUAGUCAC